AGUGAACGCUGGCGGUAGGCCUAACACAUGCAAGUCGAACGGCAGCACAGUAAGAGCUUGCUCUUACGGGUGGCGAGUGGCGGACGGGUGAGGAAUACAUCGGAAUCUACUUUUUCGUGGGGGAUAACGUAGGGAAACUUACGCUAAUACCGCAUACGACCUACGGGUGAAAGCAGGGGAUCUUCGGACCUUGCGCGAUUGAAUGAGCCGAUGUCGGAUUAGCUAGUUGGCGGGGUAAAGGCCCACCAAGGCGACGAUCCGUAGCUGGUCUGAGAGGAUGAUCAGCCACACUUGAACUGAGACACGGUCCAGACUCCUACGGGAGGCAGCAGUGGGGAAUAUUGGACAAUGGGCGCAAGCCUGAUCCAGCCCUACCGCGUGGGUGAAGAGGGCCUUCGGGUUGUAAAGCCCUUUUGUUGGGAAAGAAAAGCAGCAGGUUAAUACCCCGCUGUUCUGACGGUACCCAAAGAAUAAGCACCGGCUAACUUCGUG
rnacentral:rRNA from 1 species